AUGCAGUUGAUCUCUGGGAUAUAUGCUAGGGUAAAAAUAAAGGUACACAGAUGCAGGAUUCCGAAAUCGACUUUAGUGACGAGUGCAUUAACCAUUAGGCUACAAUGUGCCAGUUCAUUUCAGCAGCCGGUGCCUGAGCUCAUGGGAACAGCUGUGUGAACUUAAUUCAGAGCAACUGGCACGCCGACGGAAACGUGGCCCUGCCAUGUCACGACAACUGGACCAGGGAGCAGGUCAAAGCAGCGGAGGGGGCAGAGAUGUUGCUGUUUGGGGUCCUUCUGCUCGGAGGACAGCUGCUGACUUCAGGCUGACACGCCACUCAGUCACUGAGCGGGUUUUGAGGAUCCUGCGUGCUGAGGCUAAGCAGGUUACACGGUGAUACUCUGCGGGCACUGUCGGAGGAAGAGGGCGGCCAGAAUGCGCCAAGCUAUUUGCGGAUACCGUAUACCUCGGGAAUAGCCACGGCGUUGGAUUUCAAUAUAAGCCGGUUUUAGUGCCAUAGCUUUCUGUGAAUGGGAGCCCGGUUCCUAUCCCAGGCUGAUUUUAGAUCACAGGUGUUGACCUUAGCUACUGUGGAUGGGGGGCACUUCGUGCUCGUUCCCGUGACUCUGGCAGGGAUGAGAUGCAGCCUCUGUGCUAAGGAAAGGUAUCAUGCUGCCUCAAAUCUGAUAAACAUAUAAUUUUGGUGUAAACACCACAAUGCAGGACACUGGAUUUUAUUGUGCAAUAAAUAAAUUUCUAAAACGACACAGCAAAGUGUUUAACUCACACAAUCGUCUC